AGGACGAACGCUGGCGGCGUGCUUAACACAUGCAAGUCGAGCGGAAAGGCCCUUCGGGGUACUCGAGCGGCGAACGGGUGAGUAACACGUGAGCAAUCUGCCCUUAGCUUCGGGAUAGCUCCGGGAAACCGGAAUUAAUACCGGAUAUGACCACGGCUGACAUCGGCCACGGUGGAAAGUUUUCGGCUAGGGAUGAGCUCGCGGCCUAUCAGCUAGUUGGUGGAGUAACGGCCCACCAAGGCGACGACGGGUAGCCGGCCUGAGAGGGCGACCGGCCGACACUGGGACUGAGACACGGCCCAGACUCCUACGGGAGGCAGCAGUGGGGAAUAUUGCGCAAUGGGCGAAAGCCUGACGCAGCGACGCCGCGUGGGGGAUGAAGGCCUUCGGGUUGUAACCCCUUUCAGCAGGGACGAAGCGAAAGUGACGGUACCUGCAGAAGAAGCGCCGGCUAACUACGUAGCCGAGCAGCCGC
rnacentral:rRNA from 1 species